GUAUUCAGUUUUCGGGCUGGGCAAUUUGGGUUGUAAAGUUCUGCAAAGUCUUUUAUUCUCAUUGUUGUUUAGUUUGUAAAUGCAUUUGCAUACCGAGUGCGCCGAAUCGGUUGAAUUUGCCGUUUGAUAAUUUUAUAGAGGACUAACUUGUUGGAAACCUGUAAAACUUUAUGACGGAUGAAUUUGGCUGUCAAAUUGAGUUGGUUUUUCGUGAUAAUAGUUGUGAAUUGGAGUUGUUUUUGUACGAUGCAUGCGUUUUGCAGUUAUGGCUUUAGUUCRCAACCCUUAUUGCUCUGCUCUUUAUUCGGUGUUUAGUCAAUCACCUACCUGACCCGUCUUGAAACACGGACCAAGGAGUUUAAGGUGUACGCAAGUCAUUGAUUGUUUAAAGUCAUAGGCGUAAUGAAAGUGGGACACUUGGUGUCUGUGAUGUGAGCUUUUUUUGUUUCGACGAACUAMGCGCAACAUCGACCCAUGACUAGGGCUUGCUCUGUUGUGGAGUCUGA
rnacentral:rRNA from 1 species